AUAACAAUACUGGUGCUCCUAAUAAAUCCUAUUUUUCUUUCUCAAAGAUGAUUAUUGAAAGAAUUAUUUUACCAGAAGAAUGGGGACUAAGUACUUUGAAAGACUGUCAAUAUGUACAUCCAGUACAAAAGAUUUUCAUUAACUACAAUUAUUGGGAUUAUGUUGAUGCCUUUUCAAAGACAUUAUUUUAUGAAAAUGAUGACCA
rnacentral:lncRNA from 1 species